GCCGGAGGUAUAGUAGAACACAAGCCAAUCGCCGACGUAGAACGGGGCGUGCUUCUUCGCCCAGACCGUGUAGUUGACGUUGGGGUUCCAUGCCUGCGAGUCGCCGACUGUGUACUUGUUGGCGGAGGCUGGGGUUGUCUGGAGGGUGAUGAAGAGUAUGAUGGCGGUGGCUGCGACGGAGGCGAGUCUCCGGUGGAGUUCCAUCAUGGAUGUGAGGUGAGGAGGGAGGAGGGCUGUGUGUG
rnacentral:misc_RNA from 1 species